rnacentral:rRNA from 1 species
GACGAACGCUGGCGGCGUGCCUAAUGCAUGCAAGUCGAGCGAGCGGCAGACGGGUGAGGAACACGUGGAAGCCUGCCCCGCAUGGGGGAUACCGCCCAGAAAUGGGCGCCAAUCCCGCGUAGGAGGGGUCUGCGGCCCAUCAGCUAGACGGUGGGGUAACGGCCUACCGUGGCGAUGACGGGUCGCUGGUCUGAGAGGAUGGCCAGCCACACGGGGACUGAGAGACGGCCCCGACUCCUACGGGAGGCAGCAGCAAGGGAUUUUCCGCAAUGGGCGCAAGCCUGACGGAGCGACGCCGCGUGGGGGAUGACGUCUUUCGGGAUGUAAGCCCCUUUUCGAGGGGAGGUCAGUACCCUCGGAAGAAGCCCCGGCUAACUACGUGCCAGCAGCCGCGGUAAUACGUAGGGGGCGAGCGUUGUCCGGAGUGACUGGGCGUAAAGCGCGCGCAGGCGGUCUCGCGCGUCGGGCGUGAAAUCCCCCGGCUCAACUGGGGCGGGUCGCUCGAGACGGCGGGACUGGAGGCCGACAGAGGGGGGUGGAAGGCCGGGUGGAGCAGUGAAAUGCGUAGAGAUCCGGCGGAACACCGGAGGCGAAGGCGGCCCCCUGGGGCGGACCUGACGCUGAGGCGCGACGGCUAGGGGAGCGAACGGGAUUAGAUACCCCGGUAGUCCUAGCAGUAAACGAUGGGCGCUGGCUGUGGGCGGCUAAGCAAACGCGGAAGCGC